GGCAAGAUGGCCGAGCGGUUAAGGCGUGUGACUCAAGCGAAAGCUUGCCUGUGUACAGCAGGUCUUCUCAUAACGUAAUGUUGCGUGGGUUCGAAUCCCACUCUUGUCA